rnacentral:rRNA from 1 species
UACGUAGGGUGCAAGCGUUGUCCGGAAUUAUUGGGCGUAAAGGGCUCGUAGGCGGUCUGUCACGUCGGGAGUGAAAACUCAGGGCUUAACCCUGAGCCUGCUUCCGAUACGGGCAGACUAGAGGUAUGCAGGGGAGAACGGAAUUCCUGGUGUAGCGGUGAAAUGCGCAGAUAUCAGGAGGAACACCGAUGGCGAAGGCAGGUCUCUGGGCAUUAACUGACGCUGAGGAGCGAAAGCAUGGGGAGCGAACGGG